CAGGUGUGCCUGUGGAGAGCUUGUCUGUGUGAAGAGCCUGUCUGCAUGUACAACGAAUUUUUGACAGAAAUGGUAGAAAGUCUGCCAAGGGACUAUUUGUUCAGAGUGAACAAAAGUGAGGAAACGUUUGAAAGUGUUGCAAAAGCCCUUAGCAGGUUCUACAGGGAGAACUGUAAGAAGGACUUCAAAUGCAAAGAUUACACUGAAGACAAAAGAAAUUCAGCAGUAUGUUACUUACUGGAAUGUCUGGAUGGGGAGGAACCUGAGUGUGUCUCCAAUGUCAGAUACAGUCUAGCUGAGGUAGAGUUGGUCAGUUUGAAAGGCUUCAAGUGUCUGGUUAAAGAUGCAUUCAAUCACAAAUAUAAUUCAUUACAACAAGUCAGAGAACAAGAUAAAGAAUGUGAUGAUGUUUUUGUUGAUGCAGUGUGAUGCCAAAAAGCAACUACACUUGGGAAGGUCAUAUCAGUCAGUACGUUGUUAGCUAUCUCUCUGAUAGCUAAUAUCAUCCUUCUCUUGGGUGUUGUCUACUUGUGGACCUGGGGGAAACGCCAGCAUGAAGGCGUGUCCCCUGCAAUUCCUGAACUGACAGUAUUGAAUGCAGUAGAGGUACAUAUUCUGAUGCAGAACGGCAACGGAGAUGCUCUGCAGCACUGACCCCGUUCAGAGGAAUAAUCCAUCUCUCUUCCAUCUGCCGCCAUUUUCCCCUCGCUUUCCCA
rnacentral:lncRNA from 1 species